rnacentral:tRNA from 1 species
AUUUAUGUAGUUUAAAUAAAACAUUACAUUUUCACUGUAAAAAUAUUAUAAAUAAUCAUAAAUU